UACGUAGGGUGCGAGCGUUUGUCCGGAAUUAUUGGGCGUAAAGAGCUUGUAGGCGGUCUGUCGCGUCUGCUGUGAAAAUCCGGGGCUCAACCCCGGACUUGCAGUGGGUACGGGCAGACUAGAGUGUGGUAGGGGAGACUGGAAUUCCUGGUGUAGCGGUGAAAUGCGCAGAUAUCGGGAAGAACACCCGUGGCGAAGGCGGCUCUCUGGGACGGUACUGGACGCGUGAGACGGCGAA
rnacentral:rRNA from 1 species